rnacentral:rRNA from 1 species
GUGGGGAAUCUUAGACAAUGGGGGAAACCCUGAUCUAGCCAUGCCGCGUGAGCGAUGAAGGCCUUAGGGUUGUAAAGCUCUUUCAGCUGGGAAGAUAAUGACGGUACCAGCAGAAGAAGCCCCGGCUAACUUCGUGCCAGCAGCCGCGGUAAUACGAAGGGGGCUAGCGUUGCUCGGAAUUACUGGGCGUAAAGGGCGCGUAGGCGGACAGUUUAGUCAGAGGUGAAAGCCCAGGGCUCAACCUUGGAACUGCCUUCAAAACUCCUGGUCUGGAGUUCGAGAGAGGUGAGUGGAAUUCCGAGUGUAGAGGUGAAAUUCGUAGAUAUUCGGAGGAACACCAGUGGCGAAGGCGGCUCACUGGCUCGAUACUGACGCUGAGGUGCGAAAGCGUGGGGAGCAAACAGGAUUAGAAACCCUGGUAGUCC